ACUUUCUAAGAAUUCUUCAAACU
rnacentral:snRNA from 1 species